rnacentral:rRNA from 1 species
AUUGAACGCUGGCGGAACGCCUAACACAUGCAAGUCGAACGAGUGGCGGACGGGUGAGUAAUGUCUGGGAAACUGCCUGAUGGAGGGGGAUAACUACUGGAAACGGUAGCUAAUCCCGCACACCAUCGGAUGUGCCCAGAUGGGAUUAGCUAGUAGGUGGGGUAAAGGGUCACCUAGGCGACGAUCCCUAGCUGGUCUGAGAGGAUGACCAGCCACACGUGAACUGCGACACGGUCCAGACUCAUACUGGAGGCAGCAGUGGAGAAUAUUGCACAGUGGGCGCAAGCCUGAUGCAGCCAUGCCUCAUGUAUGAAGAAGGCCUUCGGGUUGUAAAGUACUUUCAGCGGGGAGGCGUUACCCGCAGAAGAAGCACCGGCUAACUCCGGGCCAGCAGCCGCGGUAAUUC